AAUGCUGGCUUUAGCAUCAUAAUCUCAAAUAAGAAUGAAAUAGAGAAGAUUAGUAUGGCCCCUGCACAAGAAUGACAUGCAAAUUCAUGAAGUGGUCCAUAUUAAA
ensembl:snRNA U6 U6 spliceosomal RNA